AUGAACAGCUGCUGCAGCUUCUCGUUACAGUAGUUGAUGCAGAACUGCUCGAAACUAUUUUGAGGGAAGAUUUCGAAGC